GUCCAUGAUAGUGUUUACGCUCCUGUCUUCACAGUGCUCCCCUGAGUUUGUGGGUGCAGCACAGGCUGUGACAUCACCAGAUCCUUUGCACUGCUAACAAUCAGAGUGACAACUGGGACAGACUCAGACCUGUGAGUCCCUACCAUGGACAGUAUCCUCUCCUGCUGGAUGAUCUUUGGGCUGCUGGGGGCAGGACACAUGGCACGAGAGGUCAAGCAAACUCCCAGACACAAGAUCACUGAGAUGGGACAGGCUGUGACUCUGAGAUGUGACCCCAUUUCUGGUCAGCAGUACAUCUAUUGGUACCGACAGACUGCAGACAAGGGAAUGGAGUUUAUGGCUUACCUUGUUGACAAGACCCCCACGGAUAAGGCAGACUUUUUCAGGGAUAGAUUCUCAGCAGAGAAACCAGAAGGAUCAUACUCCAAUCUGAAGAUUGAUCCUGUGCAGCUGGGAGACUCGGCCAUGUACCUCUGUGCCAGCAGUGAAGCCACAGCCUCACACAGACAUUUCCUGUCCCUACAAAAAUUCAGUACCUCCCCCUCUCCUCAGGCUCUGAGCAACCCUUCCUUCCUUUGCAAACAGGAAUGUGUGGCUGGUGCAGUGGUUGCUUCCAGUAGGGCCAGAGAAAGAAUCUUACUCAUCAGAAUAGUCAGUAGAAACCAGGAUAGCUCAAGCAAUGGUAUUUGGUAA